AUCUUAAGUACGUGUGCACUUGUUUGUACUUUCGGCCCAAUGACCAAACAUUUCACUAACCACGCGCCACCUUCAACGCGUGGGUAACAUCCACAAAGACCAUCACAAAUGUCAACAUUCCGGUCAACUCAAAAUCUGGACCGUCGAUCUCUCACCUCCUUCGCGAUGACAAAAUCCUAACCCUCCAUUCCGUCGUGGCCACCACGCGACUCGCAUAUCGCACUAUUCUUCUCCGAUAUUAAGAAAAAAAAAAAAAACAAAGAGCGAUUUUUGCAGUAAACAAAAAAAAAAAAUUGAAGUGAGAGAAAGCAGCUUUGAUUUAUAGAGAGAGAAAGUUACUGUGUGUGUGUGUGUGUGUGUGAAGAUCUACUAAAGUUAGGGUUUUGUUGUCGAAUGUAUGACUUCGGGGACAAUGAUGAACGGUGAAAAUCGAGGAUCGAAAGAGCUGCAGAAAAUGCCUGAAAGCAAAGUCUACAGACGGAAGUCAUUCAAAGGGUUGAAUAACGUAGGUGAUGUGUUACAACAUCCACAUUCUCAAAUCCUAGGUCUGGAAGAUGCCAAUUUGUCUCAAAAGAUUGUUGGUUCAGAAGGUUCUUCGAGUCUGAACCGUUCUCUAAUAUUGGAGAAUAAUGGAAUAUUGGCAGGUAGUGGGCAAGAAAAUAGUGCUAGAAUCAAUUUAUCGUUCAAGUCCAAGCGGGAGAUGAGAGAGAUAAGAAGGAAGCUGCAGAGUGAGUUGGACUUGGUUCGGAGUUUGGUGAAGAAAAUCGAGGCAACGGAUGUACAGAAAACUGGCCCUGGAAUUGAUCAGGAUAGUGGGGCCCGACCGGUAUCUGUUGAGUCCAGGCCUUUGAAUCAGUUAAGUGUAUCAGUUGUGGAGAACAGCCAUGGUGUGGGUGAUAAUGUGGAGAAGGAGAAGAGGACACCAAAGGUAAACCAAUUUUAUAGGAAUAAAGAUUUUUUGUUAGCUAAGGAUAAGUUUCCCCCAGCUGAAAGCAACAAAAAGUCGAAAUCGAAAUCAAGUGCAAAGAAAGUGAGUGGGCCAGAAUCAGGACAUGCAAUACCGGGGAAGUUAUCAAAUCAAAUGCUAAAGAAUUGUCGUGCUUUGCUUGAAAGAUUGAUGAAGCACAAGCAUGGUUGGGUGUUUAACCAGCCUGUUGAUAUAAAGGCUCUUGGUUUACAUGACUAUUUUGACAUUAUUAAGAAUCCAAUGGAUCUGGGAACUGUGAAGUCCAGGCUGGAAACAAAUCGGUAUACGUCUCCUAAAGAAUUUGCUGAGGAUGUUAGACUUACAUUUCAAAAUGCUAUGACGUAUAAUCCGAAGGGCCAAGAUGUUCAUAUGAUGGCCGAUCAACUUAACAAGAUAUUUGAGGAGAAGUGGGCCCCUAUAGAGGCUGAUUAUAUGCGCGAAUUGAGAUUGUUAACGGACUCUGGAGGAAAAGUGGGCCCCAAGAGGACUUUAGACAGGUCAGAAUCAACGACCAAUCUCGUUGGUUCCAAGAUUAAAUCUGUCACUCUCCCCCAAUCUGGAAGGACCCCUGCCCCAAAGAAGCCGAAAGCAAAGGAUCCUAAUAAAAGGGAGAUGACAUAUGAUGAAAAGCAAAAGCUGAGCACAUGCCUACAGAAUUUACCUUCUGAAAAGCUUGAAAACGUUGUACAGAUAAUCAAAAAGAGGAAUUCAUCUCUAUGCCAACAGGAUGAUGAGAUUGAAGUGGAUAUUGACAGUGUUGAUACUGAGACCCUAUGGGAGCUUGACAGGUUUGUUACCAAUUACAAAAAGAGCUUGAGCAAGAACAAAAGAAAAAUUGAACUUGCAGAUCAAGAAAAAAGGGAAGUCGAGACGAAUGUUCAGGAGGAGAAUGCUAGCCCAGUUGUGGUAGAAAUUCCAAAAGAAAGCAAAGCAGCAGAAGAGAAAGGCACUUCCUCCACUCCUGCUCAUGUAGAAAAUCAGGGAAAAGAUGUUAGUCAGCCAAGCAGCUCUAACACUGACUCGGUGUCAUCAUCAAGUGAUUCUGAUAGCGAAAGCUCCGCAGGAGGUGGAUCCGAUGCCGAACAUUCACCAAAAAGUUGACUCUGCUGUCCAGAUAUAAUGUUCUCUCUUUUAAUGUCUUGUGGGGUUAUAUAGUCCUCUUUCACUGUGUUGCAUCUAAUGGCUUAGAGUUGAAAACAUAUUAAUACCUAUCCAGAGAGCGACCUUAAUACGAAUUCACAUGCAGCUUGAAGGCAAUGCAAUUAUAACAUGGUGUUGGUAACACAAAUGUUGGAAAUGUCACCUAUGUGAAAUUAUAGAGGUCUGAACAUCAUUGUUACAUAACAUGAUCGAUGAAAAUGAUUGGUGUUCAGGAGAGCUUCUAUGAUAUCCUUUUUGGACAUGAUUUUGAGCAGCCCAGCCCAGCCCAUAGUCUUGUUGCUCUACCAGGGUUGUUUGAUUUCAAAAGUAGCUGCAGAUGGUAGUUGCAUAUGCUGGCUGGUCUCAAAUUGUAUAAUAGUAGCACCUAGUUUGUAGCUUGUGUAUAUUUUGCUUAUGGAUUUCUGAAUGUGCAGUUUGAAGUCAUACUGUUCAGGUCACAUGGACCUGUACUCAGUGAUUGAAUCAAUUUAAUGUGGUUGAACCUUUUA